UAGGGAAUCUUCGGCAAUGGGGGCAACCCUGACCGAGCAACGCCGCGUGAGUGAAGAAGGUUUUCGGAUCGUAAAGCUCUGUUGUAAGUCAAGAACGAGUGUGAGAGUGGAAAGUUCACACUGUGACGGUAGCUUACCAGAAAGGGACGGCUAACUACGUGCCAGCAGCCGCGGUAAUACGUAGGUCCCGAGCGUUGUCCGGAUUUAUUGGGCGUAAAGCGAGCGCAGGCGGUUUGAUAAGUCUGAAGUUAAAGGCUGUGGCUCAACCAUAGUUCGCUUUGGAAACUGUCAAACUUGAGUGCAGAAGGGGAGAGUGGAAUUCCAUGUGUAGCGGUGAAAUGCGUAGAUAUAUGGAGGAACACCGGUGGCGAAAGCGGCUCUCUGGUCUGUAACUGACGCUGAGGCUCGAAGGUGCGGGUAUCAAACAGGAUUAGAUACCCUGGUAGUCCACGCCGUAAACGAUGAGUGCUAGGUGUUGGAUCCUUUCCGGGAUUCAGUGCCGCAGCUAACGCAUUAAGCACUCCGCCUGGGGAGUACGACCGCAAGGUUG
rnacentral:rRNA from 1 species